CCAACUCAGGGAACUCCUUACCAUAUUAGUAGAGUCAUAUGACCCAAGCUUAUUAUGAGAAACCAGACCCUUUACUUUAAUGGGCGGUUGAGAUGUGCAUCUUCUGAACCUUUGAGAGAAGACUGGACGACCCUUAUCCCCAUACAGAUUAUUGAGUUGCUGUCUGUCGUCCAAUGGUGAUGAUAAUGGACUAUAUAUAUAUAUAUAUAUAUAUAUAUAUAUAUAUAUAUAUAUAUAUAAAGUUAGAGAUAUCUGGCAAACCAAGCUCUAGAUUAUUGUUUUACUGUUCUUUUUAGGUAGAGAUGGUUGAGGCAUGCCUCACCAAUGGGUUUUGUGGCCUGGCUCUUUCUUCCGUAUUACAUGGGUUUUGUGGUCUCUUAAGUCACCACUGAUUCAGGGUCCUAUCAGAUCCUCAUUGGGCUGAAAGGGGAUUGUACCUGAGUGAAACUGGCAUGCAUGGAUUGAUGCUGGAUGGUAGAGAUGGUUGAAGGAUGGCUCAUCAAUGGAGAUCCUAUCAGCUGACACGGUGUUGUUCCUGGGCGAGAUGUAUGUAUUGCUUGAUGGGUACAUCAAACCAUGCUUUUGGUGCAGAUGAAAGUAGGAAGAAGCCGAAGAAAAACUAGGAAAAACCAUCCUAAAUUGCAAGCGUUUUGCUAACCAGGAGAUGGGUUUUGGCAAUCUUUUUCCAAGGUUGGGAUGGUUCAACUCAGGUUUUGGCAAUCUUUUUCCAUGGUUAGGAUUGUUCAACUCAUUAUUUUUGAGGGAUUGACACGGUCCGACCCGUUUUAGAUUCCCAAAGUUAGCCUCCUCAACAUCAUUCCACAUGGUGCACUGUAAGGUGAAUGAUUUGAAGUAAAAACCCCAGCUUUUCUAGGAGGUCAGACAAUUUUAACCAUGGAAUCAAAAGCUGAACCCUUCACAUAUACUAGGAAUUUGAUAGGAUGAUUAUUUUGUUGAGAUAGAGGCUCAAAUUCAUGGGAUGUAUCUGUUAUGAGAUAUGUUGGGACUAUAGCCAUUGUAUUUUUCAAUGAUGCAAAAUGUUUUUUUCUUUUCCCAUGGCUCCUUUUACACUGGGAAUGCCUGAACACCCUCUCAAAUGAAAUAUUUCAACCUUGUGACUGUUCAUGUUCAAAUCAAAAGAUCUAGAUCAUUGAUAUUUUCAUUC